CUAAUUCUAAUAGAAUACUAACAAUGCUCUAAUUAGACUAUAAUAAUAGUAAAUAAACGUAAUCAAAUUCAAAACAACUCAAAGAAAUUUCAAACAAACAAUAAAAUUCUUAAAGAAAUAUUAGAAUGAACACAAAUAUUAAUCAAAUAUAUGUCAAUUCAAUCUUAAUUUAAUUUUAAUUAAAACCCUAUUGAAUUUCACUCAAACUCCAGACCAAACCUAAUUAAAUCUUAAAUCCUAAUAAAUCCUUAAUCCUAAGUCAAAUCCUAAAUAAACCUUAAAUUAAACCCUAAAUCAAAUCCUAUUUCAAAUCCUAAAUCCUAAAACAAACCCUAAAUCAAAUCCUAAACCAAACCCUAAAUCCUAAUCCAAACUCUAAUCCAAUCCUAAACCCUAAAUCAAACCUUAAAUCAAAUCCUAAUGAAAUCCUAAAUCCUAAUCCAAAUCCUAAUUCAAAUCCUAAAUCAAAUCCUAAAUCCUAAUCUAAACCUUAAUCCAACCCUAAAUCCUAACCAAAUCCUAAAUCCUAAUCCAAACCCUAAUCCAAACCCUAAAUCAAACCCUAACCAAAUCCUAAUCCAAAUCCUAACCAAACUCUAAACCCUAAUCCAAACCCUAAUCCAAAUCCUAAAUCAAAUCCUAACCAAACCCUAAUCCAAACCCUAAACUCUAA
rnacentral:lncRNA from 1 species